ensembl:lncRNA
GAAAUAUUUUAGCUUGUGAGCCUCUCCUCUUUUUAAAGAGAUAAUUCACGCAAAAAUUCAAAUUGUCUUAAUUCGCUGUCCCUCAUGUUUCUCAAACUGUACAACUGCUCAAUACAAGAGAUAUUUUGAAAAAUGGUUCAAUUUUGGGAAAAUGCGUUUGAAAACAAGAUUAGACUCCACUGACUUUUCAUUUUUCAAAAUAAUUUUUUGUGUUAAACAAGAGAGAUGUAUUCAGGUUUGGGACAACAUGGGGGUGAGUAAAAAUUUGCUAUUUUCAUUUUUGGGUGAAUUAUACUUUUGAGGCAUCCUUCUUUUAAGUUGCCAGAUUACGUUUCUUUAACAAAUCGUGUUUCUUACGGGACAAUAUCUACAGUGGCACAACAUAUUCAUCUGAAUUAAGCCAUCACUCAAUUUGAUACUGAACUGAAGUGAAUUUGCGUGAAAUACUGCAUUUUUUAAAAAAAGAACUUUUACUCUUUUUUUAUAACAUCCAACAGGAUUUGGGAUAGCAAUCACCUGAGAGAUUUAUACACAUGGAUGCAGUGGAAAACAUGUCAUAAUUACAUUUUCCCAUAAAAGGGCAUUAAAAAAAACCUCAAGUAUUUCUGCAGAGAUCCAUGCACAUAUAAAACUAGUGUUCGGGUCUCAUCUGAUCAAUCACUUAAUGGGAGAUACAGACUGGAUGAUUUGGGAAAUGGCUCCUCCACUGUGAACAUCACUGAUCUACAGGAGUCAGACUCUGGCAUUUACUGGUGUGGAGUGAAGAGACCCAUAAGAGACACAUAUGAUAAAGUCACUCUGACAGUAUCUAAAGAUCCAAAUGAAAGCAUCACCACAUCCACACAACCAUACAAAGAAACACAAACAUGCCUGGAUUUGCACACCACUACACCAGUAGCACAUUCAGAAUCUCCGUCUACCACACCAAGCCUAACCUCCAGAGAGUCAAGUCCUGAUGUCCUCAAACUCAGUAACAGUGUCUGCACACACAAUUUGCUGUGGGUGGUCUGGUCAUAG